AGCAGCAUGGCGCAGUGGUAGCGCGCGGGGCCCAUAUCCCAGUAUUGGUCAAGGUUACCCCGAGGUCACUUGAUCGAAACAAGUUGCUGCUA